GUGUUUGCUUUGGUGGCACAUAUAUUAAAAUUGCAACAACACAGAGAAAACUAGCAUGGCCCCUGCACAAGGAUGACAUGCAGAACAUAUUUUU
rnacentral:snRNA from 1 species